UACGUAGGUGGCAAGCGUUGUCCGGAUUUAUUGGGCGUAAAGCGCGCGCAGGCGGUCCUUUAAGUCUGAUGUGAAAUCUUGCGGCUCAACCGCAAGCGGUCAUUGGAAACUGGGGGACUUGAGUACAGAAGAGGAAAGCGGAAUUCCACGUGUAGCGGUGAAAUGCGUAGAGAUGUGGAGGAACACCAGUGGCGAAGGCGGAUCUCUGGACAGUUCCUGACGCUGAGGCGCGAAGGCCAGGGGAGCAAACGGG
rnacentral:rRNA from 1 species